AUUUUAAUUGCUGAGAUAUUAUACGCAACGCCAUAGUGGUUAUUAAUUUUUAAAGUGGGCAAAGACCAUAUAGUAGGUUACUGAUUUAUAAAAUAUAAGGACAAUUGUAAAAUGAUAUUGUCAUAAUUAAAUUCAAUGUGUUCAGUUUAGAAAAAAAUAAAAAGUUUUGUUAACAUAUAUAUUUGUUUUUGUGAUAUUUCAUCAUUUUUAAACCUAUGUUUAUUAAAAUUAAAGUAUAAUAUUGUACAUUGAUAACAAUCACGACGUCGAUCGCCUCUAUUUGUGUAUGGUGCAAUCUAAUAAGCCGUGUGUAAUGAUGAAAUUAAUUUAAAAAUUUUACCAGUUUAGCGAUUGGUGUCAAGUAAAGAAUAUUGCAAACUAAUCUGCAGGUGCAUAUUCAUCUAUAUAGGAAAAAAUAAUUUCU